rnacentral:rRNA from 1 species
GUACGCUCGCAAGAGGGAAACUCAAAGGAAUUGACGGGGACCCGAACAAGUAGCGGAGCAUGUGGUUUAAUUCGAAGCAACGCGAAGAACCUUACCUAAGCUUGACAUCCCAAUGACAUCUCCUUAAGCGGAGAGUUCCCUUCGGGGACAUGGGUGACAGGUGGUGCAUGGUUGUCGUCAGCUCGUGUCGUGAGAUGUUGGGUUAAGUCCCGCAACGAGCGCAACCCUUGUCUUUAGUUGCCAUCAUUAAGUUGGGCACUCUAGAGAGACUGCCAGGGAUAACCUGGAGGAAGGUGGGGAUGACGUCAAAUCAUCAUGCC